rnacentral:lncRNA from 1 species
GGGCGCCUCAGGUUCUCACUCCCCAGAGCCCCUGAUCCCACAGGGCUCGCAGGGCAGGUGGGAGGCAGCACAGGGCUGUCAGUACCAGUUAUCCCUCUUGUCCUCGAGCCGUGUGUGCAGGUCCUGUCCCCUCCCCUUGCCCCAAAGCCCUGCUGGGGCUUGGCUGUGCUCUGGGCAGCGCUGCCAGGUGCCUGCGAGGUCUCUCGGGUUACCAGCAGCUUCCCCUGGUAGGUGGCUGGAAAGGCAGCGAUGCCUCCCUGGCCUGGUUUCCUUUGUGAAAGCACCAGCAGCAGCGGGAAUGUCACAGGAUCUGCUCUCCCCGAGCGACAGGAGGAGAAAAGGGCUCUGUGUCCAGCUCCCCAGGCCGGGCUGUGUGGGCAGCACUGUCCAUCUGUGCUGCCAUCGCCUCUCGGGGCGAGCUGGGAGCAAAACAUCGAGGGAUGGGGGGAGAUUUUGGCUGCUGUGAAGGCUGGAGCGUUUAGGGGAGGGGGCCAUGCUGCUGCUGGGGAGGCUGUGAGGGUGAUGGAGCGCUGCUGGCCCGGCUGGGACCGCUCCAACCUCCCGGUGGCCCCUUCGCAAAGUAUCUCACAAAUGCUGAACUUGGCCCCGAAAUCUAAAUACAAGGCAGGGACAGUCCCCAGAUGGCCUAAAUCAGCAGCACGGUUGCCUGGCCCAGCUGGGGAGCUCGCCGGGAGUGUUUGUUUAAUGGGAAAGCAGAGGCUGCAGGAAUGCUGGCCUGGAAGGAGACCUUGGAAGGGGAAAGCGUUCGUGCCAUGCACACGUGUGAGGGAGAUCCCAGAGAGGCAGCGGGGCCCAGAGAGCUGCUCCUCUCUGCUGGGAUGGGCUGAGGGGGAAGGAAUUCCCCUGGCUCCUGGUUUGAGGUGCAGGGAAGGCGGUGUGGCUGCUGGGUGGCUUCUCCUGCUGCUGGGGGUGAACUGGGGGCUCCCCAUGUGCCAUCAUCCCCCUGGGGGCUCAGGCUGUGCCUCCCUGGGCUGCUCAGGGAAUGAGACCAUGUGCCACCAGUGCCAUGCCACGGGGCACUCCUGCCCUGGCCAGGCCCAUCCCGGAGCCAGGCGCGGGAGGGUUGGGCAGGGGACUUUGCCCCAGCGUGGGGCCAGAGUCCGUCCUGCCCUGCCCGUGCUGUGGCCGCUCCUCUGGGGGACAGCGGGGUGUCACAGCCUGGCUCUGGGUACAGGAGGGGGUGGAGGUGUCCCCAUGUCCUGCUGGCACCCCUGGGUGGGUGCUGUGGCUCCCGGUGGCGGUGUCCGGCCGGGCAGGACCGGGCUGUGCUGGGGCCAUCGCUGCCCGCUGUGCCCCGGGGCCGGGCGGGCCCCGGCGGGGACGUGGCCCCGUCCCACGGCUCCUUGCGAAGCCACACGUCCGUGUCCCUUCCCCGGGCGUGUCACGGGGCGCGGUGUCGCCGGCGGUGCCCGGAGGGAGGAAGAGGGCGGCCACGGGCCCUUCCUCCCCGGCUGCCUCUGCCGGGACCACCUGGGGCUGCCUGGCGCCACGGGGUGCGGCCGCACGCUCGCUGGCCUUGUCCCCUCCUUGGGCUGGACGGCUGGGCUGGUGGCCCCGGGGCGGCCGAGGGAAGGAGGAACGUGCCCGG